CUACGGGCCGCAGCAGUGGGGAAUAUUGGACAAUGGGGGAAACCCUGAUCCAGCAAUGCCGCGUGUGUGUAGAAGGCCUGCGGGUUGUAAAGCACUUUCGGUUGGGAGGACUGCUUCUAGCACUAAUAUUGUUGGAAGUUGACGUUACCUUCAGAAGAAGCACCGGCUAACUCCGUGCCAGCAGCCGCGGUAAUACGGGGGGUGCAAGCGUUAAUCGGAAUUACUGGGCGUAAAGCGCGCGUAGGCGGCUAGAUCAGUCGGGUGUGAAAGCCCCGGGCUUAACCUGGGAACUGCAUCCGAUACUGUCUAGCUUGAGUACAGGAGAGGAGAGUGGAAUUCCACAUGUAGCGGUGAAAUGCGUAGAUAUGUGGAGGAACACCAAUGGCGAAGGCAGCUCUCUGGCCUGAUACUGACGCUGAGGUGCGAAAGCGUGGGGAGCAAACAGGAUUAGAUACCCGAGUAGUC
rnacentral:rRNA from 1 species